CCUACGGGUGGCAGCAGUCGAGAAUCAUUCACAAUGGGGGAAACCCUGAUGGUGCGACGCCGCGUGGGGGAAGGAAGGUCUUCGGAGUGUAAACCCCUGUCAUGGGGGAGCAAAGUAAAAAGAUAGUACCACAAGAGGAAGAGACGGCUAACUCUGGGCCAGCAGCCGCGGUAAGACAGAGGUCGCAAGCGUUGUUCGGAAGCACUGGGCGUAAAGCGUGCGUAGGCUGUUUCGUAAGUCGUGGGUGAAAGGCGCGGGCUCAACCCGCGGACGGCACCUGAGACUGCGAGACUAGAGUAAUGGAGGGGGAACCGGAAUUCUCGGUGUAGCCGU
rnacentral:rRNA from 1 species